rnacentral:rRNA from 1 species
GAAGGUGGCCUGUGAGGGUUGCUGGAGGUAUCAGAAGUGCGAAUGCUGACAUAAGUAACGAUAAAGCGGGUGAAAAGCCCGCUCGCCGGAAGACCAAGGGUUCCUGUCCAACGUUAAUCGGGGCAGGGUGAGUCGACCCCUAAGGCGAGGCCGAAAGGCGUAGUCGAUGGGAAACGGGUUAAUAUUCCCGUACUUGGUGUUACUGCGAAGGGGGGACGGAGAAGGCUAUGUUGGCCGGGCGACGGUUGUCCCGGUUUAAGCGUGUAGGUGUGUGUUCCAGGUAAAUCCGGUUCACUUUAACACUGAGGCGUGACGACGAGGCACUACGGUGCUGAAGCAACAAAUGCCCUGCUUCCAGGAAAAGCCUCUAAGCAUCAGGUAACACGAAAUCGUACCCCAAACCGACACAGGUGGUCAGGUAGAGAAUACCAAGGCGCUUGAGAGAACUCGGGUGAAGGAACUAGGCAAAAUGGUGCCGUAACUUCGGGAGAAGGCACGCUGACACGUAGGUGAAGUGAUUUACUCAUGGAGCUGAAGUCAGUCGAAGAUACCAGCUGGCUGCAACUGUUUAUUAAAAACACAGCACUGUGCAAACACGAAAGUGGACGUAUACGGUGUGACGCCUGCCCGGUGCCGGAAGGUUAAUUGAUGGGGUCAGCGCAAGCGAAGCUCCUGAUCGAAGCCCCGGUAAACGGCGGCCGUAACUAUAACGGUCCUAAGGUAGCGAAAUUCCUUGUCGGGUAAGUUCCGACCUGCACGAAUGGCGUAAUGAUGGCCAGGCUGUCUCCACCCGAGACUCAGUGAAAUUGAACUCGCUGUGAAGAUGCAGUGUACCCGCGGCAAGACGGAAAGACCCCGUGAACCUUUACUAUAGCUUGACACUGAACAUUGAGCCUUGAUGUGUAGGAUAGGUGGGAGGCUUUGAAGCGUGGACGCCAGUCUGCGUGGAGCCGACCUUGAAAUACCACCCUUUAAUGUUUGAUGUUCUAACGUGGACCCGUGAUCCGGGUUGCGGACAGUGUCUGGUGGGUAGUUUGACUGGGGCGGUCUCCUCCUAAAGAGUAACGGAGGAGCACGAAGGUUGGCUAAUCCUGGUCGGACAUCAGGAGGUUAGUGCAAUGGCAUAAGCCAGCUUGACUGCGAGCGUGACGGCGCGAGCAGGUGCGAAAGCAGGUCAUAGUGAUCCGGUGGUUCUGAAUGGAAGGGCCAUCGCUCAACGGAUAAAAGGUACUCCGGGGAUAACAGGCUGAUACCGCCCAAGAGUUCAUAUCGACGGCGGUGUUUGGCACCUCGAUGUCGGCUCAUCACAUCCUGGGGCUGAAGUAGGUCCCAAGGGUAUGGCUGUUCGCCAUUUAAAGUGGUACGCGAGCUGGGUUUAGAACGUCGUGAGACAGUUCGGUCCCUAUCUGCCGUGGGCGCUGGAGAACUGAGGGGGGCUGCUCCUAGUACGAGAGGACCGGAGUGGACGCAUCACUGGUGUUCGGGUUGUCAUGCCAAUGGCACUGCCCGGUAGCUAAAUGCGGAAGAGAUAAGUGCUGAAAGCAUCUAAGCACGAAACUUGCCCCGAGAUGAGUUCUCCCUGAGACUUA